AUUUAAGGUCUGUCAGCAGAAGGAGCAGCAACUGCACCUGGAGAUUGCUUCCUUUAGAGUGUGGGGUGAAGCCUUGAAACUGGGGUUGUGACCUUUCCUGUUUUUGGGGAAUCCUGACCACAUUGAAGCGCUGGCAGAUGUAAGGGCAAUGUUGAUCUCUGGUGGCUGUCUCCUGUAGAGCAUGGGAAGCCAAGAAUUAUCCUCUUCUGGACCGCUGUACUCAGCAUCACCCCAGCAUGAUGAAGUGAAGCCUCUGGUCUGCUGAAUACUGGGACUGGCCCAGAGAGGCUCUGAUGGAUGUGGAUUAUCCUAGCCAGAGUACUUGGUACCAUUGGUGGUGAUCUCGUCCAACUGCCACACAACGAACAGGAACAUCCCCAGCCAGAUCAGGCUGCCCAGAGGUUGACCCAGCCUCACCUUGGAAGGGACAGGGCAUCCAUCACAUGUCUGGGGACUUCACCUGACUGCCUCGACUUCUCAGAUACCACUGAGAGUGGCUCGGUGACUGCAGCGGUGAAUUCCCUCAGGGCUCUGGGAC